AUGUCAAUGGGUAUGGAUACCCGAAAUUUUAUCCAAAUCCGAACUUGAAUGAAACGGAUAUAUCCGAUACUAAAUGGAUGUGGAUUUGGAUAUGGAUAUCAAAAAUAAAAAUUCGACGGAUAUGAAUUUUGACUGUACCCGACCCGAACCCGAACCUGAAUUUAUUUUGUAUUAUAUAUAUAUAUAUAUAUAUAUAAUUGAGCUAGAAUAUUUUUACAAGUAUCACCCCUUUGGUGCUAUUAGGUUUUUAGCCUUGGGAUCUACUCCUUGAUUACUAAUAGCCCUUGAAUCAAACGCUAUUUCACCUACCACCACCUACCACCAUCAUCCCAACCAUACAUUUCUCUAUCCAAUGGUUAAAAACUCACAAGCACCAUCCUCUUGAUGUUUUUAGAAGUAUUCUAGCUCAACUCUCUCUCUCUCUCUCUCUCUCUCUCUAUAUAUAUAUAUAUAUAUAUAUAUAUUUGAUGUUAUAUUUGAAUUUGUAUUUUAAAAAUUUAGAUUUAAUAUAAUAUAUUUUGAAAUAUUGAAAAAAGAAAUAACUGUUUUGAGUUCAAAUUUCGGGUUCGGGUUUGGGUUCGGGUUUCGGAUUUUUUGUCGGUUUCGGGUUUGGAUAUGGAUUUUUAAAAUCCGUUGGGUUUCGGUUCGGGUUCGGGUUCGGGUUCAGGUUUCGGGUUUGGAGUCGGGUUCGGGUUCGGAUUUUUAAAAAUUCGCCCCGAAUCUGACCCGUUGACAUCUCUAAUUG
rnacentral:lncRNA from 1 species